CAGCAGCCACGGUAAUACGAAGGGGGCUAGCGUUGUUCGGAAUUACUGGGCGUAAAGCGCACGUAGGCGGCGAUCUAAGUCAGGGGUGAAAGCCCGGGGCUCAACCCCGGAAUAGCCUUUGAGACUGGAUUGCUAGAAUCUGGGAGAGGUGAGUGGAAUUCCGAGUGUAGAGGUGAAAUUCGUAGAUAUUCGGAAGAACACCAGUGGCGAAGGCGGCCAUCUGGGACAACACUGACGCUGAGGCACGAAAGCGUGGGGAGCAAACAGGAUUAGAUACCCCGGUAGUCCCUGUCUCUUAUAC
rnacentral:rRNA from 1 species